ACAUGUAUAUAACAGAUAGAUCAAACCUGCUGAUCCAUUUUGUCAAAAAGGAGAGUUGAACUGUUUACAUCAUAUUGCAAAUAGUCUUAAGGAUGUAUACUUCUGUAGUAUUUCUAUUCGUAUUUUUUAUUGGAUGUUCCGAAUCUUCGUUAUCUUCAAAUCCCGGAAUCUUCAAUGAAGACUAUAUGGAUCCAAAGACUGUGGAUCACAAAACGCUAUCUGGACGGUGGUAUGAACAUUUGGACACAGUGAAUAACACCAUCUGGGACAAUUCUUUUGAAGACGUGGUGGUUUUAUGUGAUGAAUCAAUAAGUCUAGUGGAUGUCAUUCAUCGUUGGAUUCCGUCUCUGGAAGAGUGUCGAACCACAGCGGUAAGAUUUCACCCCGAUACGGCCCAUUCACCUGAAGCAGCAGUCAUCCGGAUGUCCACAAAUGAGACCAUAGGGAGGUUUGAAGUUCGGUACUAUGAUCCUCACCCAACUGAGGGAUUCCUGCUUGUACAUAAGAAAAGGCACCUUACUGAUGGCCACCAUAUCAUUACUCGCCAGAAGGAUCCACGUAACUUAAACGAUGUUAUUGAAAAAGUUAUGUCAGCUCUCAAUAUGAAUAUUCGGGACUUUUAUGUGAAAUCAAAGGAUUUCGGUUGCGAACGUAAAGAAGAGAAAGGAAUCAAGCUGUAAAUUACGAAAUAUACUUAGCAUGAGUCUACAUUGCAAAGUGUUAAUUCUUUUUCUUUUACAUCGUGGUAUUGUGUACAUAUAACAGGUUUCAUUUCGCAGCUAUACGUCUGACUGUUUCGGCAGUGCUACAAUUUAUACAAAAUUUGCCAAUAAACUCCGAAACACUCACUCCAGAGUUACUGCUUGCACCUUUAAAAUUGCUUCAUAUUUGAGGUGAAGUCCGUAAGGUAGUACUUAUACGGUACCAAUUUUGAUUUACCAGAUGCUCAAGCUGAAAUAUUGGAAAUCCGAAAUAACAAGAAACUUGUAAGAACUAGGAAAAAAACAGAGUGCCAAAGACAGGAGCCAAAUUCGUCUAAGGAUCAGAGCUAUGCAUGAGGGAGAUAAUCCUUAAAUUUGAAACGAAUUUCUAAAUUUUAUCACAGCAAUUAAAUACACAUUCUUAUUUUCAAGCUAGUAAUGAAGUACUUAGCUACUGGGCUUUAGAUACCCUCGGGGACUAACAGUCCACCAGCAGAUACCUCGACCCAGAGGUUAUAAUGUAAAACUUCUACGGUACCAAUUUUGAUGCACCAGAUUUGCAUUUCGACAAAUAUGUAUUUUCAGUGAUACUCAAGCUGAAAUGUUGGAAAUCCGAAAUAAUAAUAAACUUGUAAGAACUAAAUAAACAGAGUGACAAAGACUGGGGUCAAAUUCGUCUAAAGAUCAGAGCUAUGCAUGGGGGAGAUAAUCCUUAAUUUUGAAAUGAAUUUCCAAAUUGUAGCACAGCACAGCAAUUAAAUAUACACCCGUAUUUUCAAGCUAGUAACGAAGUAAGAUACAAUAUACUAGAUUAGUAAAUGUAAAAUUAAAAACCUUCAUUCGUUUUCGAUAUAAACCCGGUGUCUCGGAUAUUGCAGACUAGCAAGAAGAAAAUAUAUACAUCCGGUUUGUAGUGAUAUUUUGAUUUACUUUCCUGGUUUGUCACAAUAAAGUCCACAAGUGUUUCAUAUUCGACAGUGUGCAGAUUUAUUAUUGGAAACUGAUCUAUACCUCUGCUAUAAAUCCGUCAAAUCACAUUGUAGAAACUACAGAUGACGACUGAAGUAUUGGGUUUUGCAUUUUUCGUUUUCUGUCUACAAGUACAGAUUGGGUUUUCCCAACCUCUUCGUAUCAAACGUAACGAUGAGCGAUGCAUAGCGGAGGAUUACACGAUCAAUCUAGAAUCGUAUUUGAAAGAUCAAUGAAGCGAUUUGGAAAAAAAAUUGAAAGAAGAUUUUUCAAAGAAUAUCCAAAAUCUCGAAACACAGAUAAAACGACUUACAAAUUGUCCUCGGGGCUGGAACAAACAUGGCAGAUCAUGUUAUAAGUUAAACACACAAAAAUCAACAUGGAAAACUGCUGAUCAAUUCUGCCGACGUUUGUCAGGAAAACUAGCUGAAAUUGGCACAAAGGAUGAAAACGACUUUAUAAAAAAUCUCAUUAACAAUAACCCAGGAACAGCACGGGCCUGGAUAGGUGGGGCAGACACGGUAGAGGAAGGUACAUGGAUCUGGACUUUUUUCAGAAAUACCGCUGAGCUUUAAGAACUGGAACAAGGGCGAACCCAAUGACAGAAAAGGAAAGGAAGACUGUUUGGAAAUACUGGGAAUACUCAACGGACUCUGGAAUGACUUAUCAUGCUCAAAUUCAUCAGUGUCUGUUUGUGAAAAAGACUUGUAGUAUGUGUUUGUGUGUUUAUGUGUCUAUAUGUGAGUAUAUGUGCGUGUUCUAUAGUGUAACUAACAACGAAAGGGAAUCGUUUUUGCCUUCCAUAGAUUGUACGCAUGGUUAUUUUGUCUGUAACUUAAUCAAAAGUACUGUCCCCUAAAAUCAUCUUCGUUUAUCAUAACUUGUCAAAUGAGAUGGUCAAAUUUUAAUAUAGAGUUGUUACACAUGUAUAUAUUUUUAAACAAUGCAUCUGCGUUAUUAUAACACUGUACUGUACUGCUAAUUUCUCGAUCAAUACCUGCAGUUGUUUACACUUAUAAAACUCUUUUUCAAGUGAAUUGAAAGCUUUACUUCCUGGUCCAAAGUGGAUUCAUGGUUUGAAUUUAUAUAGGGCACAUCUUCAUGCAGGGUAACACAAGACUGAAAUUUCUUAAAUUACUGUGCAAGCAUUCCCACAAAUUUGUUUAAUUCAUGACCUACGUUGAUCAAAUAAAUCUUCUUUUUCUCUAGCUAAUUCAACAUAUGUUUGAUUGUAAAAUUUUCUCUAUUUUCUGAAUUUUUAUCUGUACGCUUCAGGUAAUAAUUCAUAAGCUUUUAAGAUCACUGCCUUGUAAUAAUAUGAACUCUCAGUUAUGGCCAGCGUCCAGUAAAUAUCGGCUGCUUUGCCAGUCAAGACACUUAGUGACGAAGUGGACCAAGCAUAUCACGAUCAUUUCAAGAUAUCCGGAGCUUUCUCAAAAUUCCAGAAAUAUUUGUACACAGAUUAUUUCUAAUUACGGAACUAACCUGAUAUUUUAGCAGCAUCGAAUUCAUUUCUGACAGAUUUAAUCUCUAACCCGAAGUGCACAGAUAAACUAAUUCAACGCAUUCUUUAAGGUAUCGAGUACAUGAACAUUCGGCGAAUCAAGAAGAUAUGUGACGGAAAACAUGGUCAUUGCUGCUGUCUGUGAAAUUCAAUAAUUCAGAAAAAAUGAAAUACAAAUCUUGAAAAAUG